UUUUGUCAAAAUAAUAAAAAUAAGGGGGUUAAAAAAUAAAUCAAAAGAAAAAAUGAAAUAAAAUAAACAAAAUAACAUAAAAAAUAAAAAUAAUGGUCAGGGUGCACUCCUGAGGUUCGAACCCCAACCUUGGGGUCAUGGGGGAGACUUUCCCCUCACCCACUGGGCCAAUUGCCUAGACAUUGUCAACAAUGCAUGCUAAAUGAAUAAAUAAUAAAAUAACAAAG
rnacentral:lncRNA from 1 species